rnacentral:rRNA from 1 species
UGGACGGGUGAGUAACGCGUGAGAAUCUGGCUCUAGGUCGGGGACAACAGUUGGAAACGACUGCUAAUACCGGAUGUGCCGAGAGGUGAAAGAUUAAUUGCCAAGAGAUGAGCUCGCGUCUGAUUAGCUAGUUGGUGGGGUAAGGGCCUACCAAGGCGACGAUCAGUAGCUGGUCUGAGAGGAUGAUCAGCCACACUGGGACUGAGACACGGCCCAGACUCCUACGGGAGGCAGCAGUGGGGAAUUUUCCGCAAUGGGCGAAAGCCUGACGGAGCAAUACCGCGUGAGGGAGGAAGGCUUUUGGGUUGUAAACCUCUUUUCUCAAGGAAUAAUCCAAUGAAGGUACUUGAGGAAUCAGCAUCGGCUAACUCCGUGCCAGCAGCCGCGGUAAUACGGAGGAUGCAAGCGUUAUCCGGAAUGAUUGGGCGUAAAGAGUCCGUAGGUGGCCCUGUAAGUCUGCUGUCAAAGCGUCAUGCUCAACAUGAUAAAGGCAGUGGAAACUACAGAGCUAGAGUGCGUUCGGGGCAGAAGGAAUUCCUGGUGUAGCGGUGAAAUGCGUAGAUAUCAGGAAGAACACCGGUGGCGAAAGCGUUCUGCUAGGCCGCAACUGACACUGAGGACGAAUGUAUGAUUCUUG